rnacentral:lncRNA from 1 species
GCCGCCCGGGAUGAGCUAAUAAUGGAAGCAAUUUGUAACUUUCAGUAGCUCUCUAGGCCUGGGUACCGGAGGGAGGGAGGCGGGCAGAGGAGGGGAGAUGGGCACCCCCAGUCUUUCCAUCCUCCUCAUUCGUCUAGGGGCACCCGAAUCCCCUAUUCCUUAUUUCCCCUAUCACUCAGGCACUGGCAGGGUCCUUGGCCCACUCCUGUUGGCCGCCGCGGCUCCAAAGCGAGCUGGGCAGAUGUGCCUGAGACAGGUUUGACCAGGCAACUGAAAAGACAUCCCUAAGGGAAGACAAAGCAAAGGUAUGAAAGGAACACACGUCCCUGACUGACUAGGAGGAACAGAGCUGCCUGCUGUCUGGAACCGCUUCCUCCCAGACUAAGUGAGAAAUAAACUUCUGUUUUCUA